GAUGAACGCUAGCUACAGGCUUAACACAUGCAAGUCGAGGGGCAGCAUGGUCUUAGCUUGCUAAGGCCGAUGGCGACCGGCGCACGGGUGAGUAACACGUAUCCAACCUGCCGUCUACUCUUGGACAGCCUUCUGAAAGGAAGAUUAAUACAAGAUGGCAUCAUGAGUUCACAUGUUCACAUGAUUAAAGGUAUUCCGGUAGACGAUGGGGAUGCGUUCCAUUAGAUAGUAGGCGGGGUAACGGCCCACCUAGUCUUCGAUGGAUAGGGGUUCUGAGAGGAAGGUCCCCCACAUUGGAACUGAGACACGGUCCAAACUCCUACGGGAGGCAGCAGUGAGGAAUAUUGGUCAAUGGGCGAGAGCCUGAACCAGCCAAGUAGCGUGAAGGAUGACUGCCCUAUGGGUUGUAAACUUCUUUUAUAAAGGAAUAAAGUCGGGUAUGCAUACCCGUUUGCAUGUACUUUAUGAAUAAGGAUCGGCA
rnacentral:rRNA from 1 species